rnacentral:rRNA from 1 species
AAGGAAUUGACGGGGGCCCGCACAAGCAGCGGAGCAUGUGGCUUAAUUCGACGCAACGCGAAGAACCUUACCAAGGCUUGACAUAUACCGGAAAGCAUCAGAGAUGGUGCCCCCCUUGUGGUCGGUAUACAGGUGGUGCAUGGCUGUCGUCAGCUCGUGUCGUGAGAUGUUGGGUUAAGUCCCGCAACGAGCGCAACCCUUGUUCUGUGUUGCCAGCAUGCCCUUCGGGGUGAUGGGGACUCACAGGAGACUGCCGGGGUCAACUCGGAGGAAGGUGGGGACGACGUCAAGUCAUCAUGCCCCUUAUGUCUUGGGCUGCACACGUGCUACAAUGGCCGGUACAAUGAGCUGCGAUGCCGCGAGGCGGAGCGAAUCUCAAAAAGCCGGUCUCAGUUCGGAUUGGGGUCUGCAACUCGACCCCAUGAAGUCGGAGUUGCUAGUAAUCGCAGAUCAGCAUUGCUGCGGUGAAUACGUUCCCGGGCCUUGUACACACCGCCCGUCACGUCACGAAAGUCGGUAACACCC